AGAGAGCUUUACAAUGGAGGCAAUAUAUGACAUCAUUCACCGUCUCUCAACUUCUUCUCCUUUCGAAGAGAUCAAAUGAAUAUGUAUUUUUUAUUUUAUAUUCCAAAUGCGGCAUUUUGUGAAUUUCGGGUCAAAUACGUAAAUGAUUUUUUAAUUUGAUUUGAUUUUUCCUUUUAUUUUCCCUGCCGUGAGCAAGAAAUGUGAUGUUUUGAUCAUGUGGAUUGUGCUGUUGCUCAAAGUAGGUCUGUCCUUGUUCCUUUUGUAUAAUGGACGGAGUAGGUUUGUGUUGUAUUACACAUACAGCCUCAAAAUCUAUUGUUAAUAUAACUUGUUGUUCUUAUUAUCGAAUGCUUUAGAUGCCAAAAUGCAUCUUUAAAAUUAAAUAAAAAUAAUAGCCUUGAAAUCUAUCUAUUUAUCUAUCUAUCUAUGGUUUUCAUGAUUAUAUAAAGAGAAUGUAUAGACAAUCUGUCUUUUUUUUUUUUAAGCUACUAAAAUCACUGAUAUAUAACAAAAUGUACUUUUAAAUCAUGAUUUCCGUAACAAUAUUGUGUUUUUUAGUGCUUCUAUUUCAUGCUGUGAUUUCAUCCUGGUCGACGUGUACAAGGUUGAACAAUAGCUGUUGUGUGUUAAGCCUUGAGGUGCAGAUCCUGGUCGACGUGUACAAGGUUGAACAAUAGCUGUUGUGUGUUAAGCCUUGAGGUGCACAUCCUGGUCGACGUGUACAAGGUUGAACAAUAGCUGUUGUGUGUUAAGCCUUGAGGUGCAGAUCCCCUGCUAUAUGACAGGCCUACUAACACACCAACCUAGCAAGACUGGAUCCACACAUUUACAAUGCGACUCUUUUGUUGUUUAGUUUUUUUGUUUUGUUGCUAGAAUUCACCACCACAGUUACUUUAUCUGUUCCCACGGGAACAUGUUUAUACCGUUUUGUUUUCUAUAAUGUAUUUGUGUUUACACUUUCUCUUUUUUAAAUAUUUGUUUAUUCCUGAGGAUGUGUGACGUCUGUUGCUUCUCAUUUCAUGGUGUAUAUUACUGUGGCCAUGCUUGUAUUAUCUUUUCAUAUUUGUUAUUAAAUGGAACACAUAAUAAUACAGAUCUGGAAUUCCAGUUGGGGAGGGGGGGGGGGUUUGUAUCCCCAAGUUCACCUCCCCCCAAUUAUUUUUUGUUUGUUUGUAAAGAAAGAGAUCUGUGUUCUAUAUUUAGCUCAGUUUUCUAGAACUGUGUCGUCUCAGGAUCUUUGACGUGUUCUAACGCAAGCUUGGUAACGGUUUAACGGACGGGUAAGAGGAAGCUUCUGAUUGGCUUAUUCAAGGAAUAGUCAACACAGAUGUUUUUUUUCUUCGUUUGGAUUAUUUAGGUAGCUGUGAAAUUAAGACUCUCUGACUAAAAAGAUUGUUGUUUAAAACAAAAGUUGGUCCACCUAGUUCUCGUACUAUUCAUUCAUUUAAUCAUGUUGUCUGUCUAUUGUUUUAAAUAUCUCAAAACAUACAAGAAUCAUUCUGUUUCUAUCGUUUUUUAAAAAUGGUUCUGAAGACAAACCGUAAGAGCUGAUAUCUUAUUUAUGCUACUACUACUGCUGCCUGCUUCUUCUGUGUCCCACACUGAACUGAAGACGAAACAUCUACCUGUGUAAUGUGUGAUGCUCUAGACUGAUACCUAGCUAGCUAGCUAGCUUUCUGAUGGUUCCUCUAGACUGAUACCUAGCUAGCUAGCUGGCUUUCUGAUGGUUCCUCUGGACUGAUACCUAGCUAGCUAGCUGGCUUUCUGAUGGUUCCUCUAGACUGAUACCUAGCUAGCUAGCUAGCUGGCUUUCUGAUGGUUCCUCUAGACUGAUACCUAGCUAGCUAGCUGGCUUUCUGAUGGUUCCUCUAGACUGAUACCUAGCUAGCUAGCUGGCUUUCUGAUGGUUCCUCUAGACUGAUACCUAGCUAGCUAGCUGGCUUUCUGAUGGUUCCUCUAGACUGAUACCUAGCUAGCUAGCUGGCUUUCUGAUGGUUCCUCUAGACUGAUACCUAGCUAGCUAGCUGGCUUUCUGAUGGUUCCUCUAGACUGAUACCUAGCUAGCUAGCUUUCUGAUGGUUCCUCUAGACUGAUACCUAGCAUGCUAGCUUUCUGAUGGUUUUGCUGUGUGGACCAGGAUCGUGCUGAAUUUGCUGUUCUUUCUCUCUACAUUUUUCUAUUUUCUCCACUUGAGUUUUUAUUUGUAAUGUACUUAAACAGUCAUUUACUGCAAGAGACUUUGAAAUGUAUUUUUGGGAACGCUAGGAUGAUAUAACUUGUCAAUGUGACUCUUUAAUGUAAAAAAUAAAUACAACAUUUAACACCAA